GCGGCGCAUGCGUAACGUCGUCGAGGGCUCAGAGGGGUGCUUGCUUGUCUUGUCCCGUCCGAGGCGCCGUCCGUUCCGUGAGUGGCGGUGCGAAGAUCUCUGGGGGGGCCGUAAUAGCGUCGCACCCCGAUCCCUUCCCCCCCUCCCCUAGUGAGGAGCGAGUCUCCGGCUCUGAGGAGGGGCUGGGACCGCGCCCCCAUCUCCUCCCACCCGCCCCGCAGGGGGGCUCCGUAGCCAUGGCAAUGACGGGUCCAACACCUUGUUCAUCCAUGAGUAACCACACAAAGGAGCGAGUUACAAUGACAAAAGUGACAUUAGAAAACUUCUAUAGCAAUCUCAUAGCACAACAUGAAGAACGGGAAAUGAGACAGAAGAAGCUAGAAAAAGUGAUGGAAGAGGAAGGUUUAAAAGAUGAAGAGAAGAGACUCAGGAGGUCCGCACAUGCCCGAAAGGAAACAGAGUUUCUUCGGUUGAAGAGAACAAGACUUGGUUUGGAAGAUUUUGAGUCCUUAAAAGUAAUAGGCAGAGGAGCAUUUGGAGAGGUGCGGCUUGUCCAGAAGAAGGACACAGGGCAUGUAUAUGCGAUGAAAAUACUACGCAAAGCUGACAUGCUUGAAAAAGAGCAGGUUGGCCAUAUUCGUGCGGAGCGGGACAUACUAGUGGAGGCAGACAGUUUGUGGGUUGUGAAAAUGUUCUAUAGUUUUCAAGAUAAAUUAAACCUGUACCUUAUCAUGGAGUUCCUGCCUGGAGGUGAUAUGAUGACACUGUUGAUGAAAAAAGACACCCUAACAGAAGAAGAGACUCAGUUUUAUAUUGCGGAGACUGUGUUAGCCAUUGACUCCAUUCAUCAGCUUGGUUUUAUCCAUCGGGAUAUCAAGCCAGAUAACCUCCUCUUGGAUAGUAAGGGCCAUGUGAAACUGUCAGAUUUCGGUCUCUGCACUGGGCUAAAGAAGGCUCACCGAACGGAGUUCUACAGAAACUUGAACCACAGUCUUCCGAGUGAUUUCACUUUCCAGAACAUGAAUUCCAAAAGGAAAGCAGAAACGUGGAAGAGAAAUAGACGUCAGUUGGCCUUUUCCACUGUGGGAACUCCAGAUUACAUCGCUCCUGAAGUCUUCAUGCAGACGGGUUACAACAAGCUUUGUGAUUGGUGGUCACUUGGGGUCAUCAUGUACGAGAUGUUAAUUGGUUAUCCCCCUUUCUGUUCUGAGACCCCUCAAGAAACCUAUAAGAAAGUGAUGAACUGGAAAGAGACUCUGAUCUUCCCCCCAGAAGUUCCAAUCUCUGAGAAAGCAAAGGAUCUUAUUCUAAGAUUUUGCUGUGAAUGGGAGCACAGAAUUGGUGCACCUGGUGUCGAAGAAAUCAAGGGUAACCCCUUCUUUGAAGGGGUUGACUGGGAGCAUAUCAGAGAGAGACCUGCUGCAAUAUCAAUAGAAAUUAAAAGCAUUGAUGACACCUCAAACUUCGACGAAUUUCCAGAAUCGGAUAUCCUUAAACCAACAGUGGCCACAAGUAACCAUCCAGAGACUGACUACAAGAACAAAGACUGGGUCUUCAUCAAUUACACCUACAAACGAUUUGAGGGGCUGACAGCCCGAGGGGCAAUCCCAUCCUAUAUGAAAGCAGGAAAGUAGUGAACUGUGACCUGAGACUAUUUCUGAGCCUUGGAUCUUGUUUCUCUGUACUGGGUUUAUGCCCUUAAAACAAUUUACCUGAGGGCUAUGAACUCUUUUUGAAAAGUUUUUCAGGACACAAUAUAUUACACACCAUUGUUAUUUACUUGGAUUUGUUUCUUCCACUCCACUGAAAACUUCCAUGAAACUCUAUUACCUCUGAUGCAGGCAGAUAUUUUUUUGCUGCUUCAGGAGCAAGCCUGUCUCUGUUUUCACAUUGAAUUCCUUGCUAGACUGUUCAGUAGAGGAGGAGAGAGAGAGGAAGAGCGCCUUUACUUUCUAACAUCACAAAGCAUAUGGUAUUUACAAAAUAUUUCACCAGUCCUGCAAUGAGCGAUAUACUCAGUCUGCCAGUUCUGCCAGCACUGUUUUCCUAAUGGCUAAGAACUGUAGCACAGAGGAAAUAAAGCAAUAAUUAAAGCUUGAGAUAGACAAAACUGUCCAGUAAAUUAUCUAGUAGAUGAACAAAACUUGUAUUGCCUUAACCGUAGUUUGUAGUGCUAUUUUUUUAUAACUCAGAAGCCUCUUUAAUAGCAUUUUUCAGCUCAAUCAGUAGCCUCAAGUUGUGGUGCACUUUACUUUUGGUACUAAGACAAUGACCCUCAAGCCAUUAAAUAUUUUUCUAAAUUAAAAUUGUGUAACACUUUUUUGCUUUUUCUGAGCAGUGACAGGAGAAACAGGCCACUCAUCCUGGUAGAACUUACUCCAUGGAAGCCAACAGUUUCCAACUGUUGUAUUGAAGAACCUCCACGCAAACAAAUGGCUAUUGUAGAUUAUUAGUAAACUAGCCAAUAACAAGAGCUGACCUAGAAAAGGAGUGGGGGCAUAGGAAGGGGAGGGAGGGAAAUCCAUUUAUCCUGAUUGCUGAUGGGCCUCCUAUGUAUAAUAGGACAGGCCAUGGGGUUUUCUGUUCUUGUUGCUGCCAUCUCUUGGCCGCUUGUAAAAUCUGCCAGCCUUGAUCAGUUUCAAAGAUGAUGAUAUUACUUGCUAGUGGCAUGGGGUAGUGUCAAGCAGGAAGAUAUGGCAAAACGUGUGAAAUUCUGCCUAGGGCUCCUCCUACAAACCCUUAUUCACAGUGGCCUUCCCAUCCUCUACUUAGUAUUUCAAAGUUUCUCUCAGUACCAUGGCUAAAACCUCUGUACUCAGAGUCUUCCAAGGGGGUCUGAAAAUUCUGGUACAUGGGUCCUGCCAUUUCUCUCUUUGACUAAUUAUUGCCUAAUGUAGUUUAUGAAAGUGUAUUCCUUUAUAAUCAGGAUGCUCUCCAUGAGAGCCCCAAAGUGCCUUCCCUUGCCUAAGCACCUCUUGGAGCUGGAUCAAAUUAAUUUGGAGGAUUCUUUAUCAGCUGAGCUCUUGAUAAUUCCUUUCCAUGUGCAGGAACACCACUUAGCUACAAAAUAGGUGCAAUCAGUGCAUUCCUAGUGGCAUGUGAAAUAAACAGAUCCACCCCCCCCCCUUGUGGUGCUGGUCUUUAGUGUGUCACUAGAUUUUAAAUUAACGAGAUUUUUAACAAGUGCAUAUCAGUUUGAACAGUUUAAAUUCCUGCUACAUUAUAUUUUUGGUGCUGAACGCUAAAAAUACCUAGCAUCUAAAAAGACUGUGUUUUUUUUUUUUUUUUUUUAAAGCUAGAUCAGUGUGUCAAGAUGACCUGGUGGCUAUGGUUUGUAUUUAGCCCUAGCUUUCUAGGCUAACAAAGGGAAGAAUCUGAUUGUAAUAUAAUAAUUUUUUUAAUGGCUGCAUUAGGGAAUAUUCCACUAAAUGUCUUUUGGAUUAAAGUGUCACAGAGUAAAUGUUGAAUGAAGGAUUAAUUUGAGUGCAAAUACUGUACAUAACAGAAAGACUGAUUAAGAUUGUGGGUGACAACUUGUUAACAUCCUCUCCCUAAAUGCCAUAACUGAGACCAUCCAGAAACCCUGAAUCUGUGCUGUUGUAUUUCUGCGUAGUAGGAAUUGGUUCAGUGCAUUGCUGUAAACAGUUUAAAUGCUAAAUUCUGCCAAUCCUAAAUUCAAGAGUAGUUUUUACUCUGACAACAGUGAUCUUUGGGCCCAUGGGAUUAUUCAUAGGACUACUUAAGCAAAGUAAAAUAAAGAUCAGGGUCUUUAUUUGCUAGCCAGCAAAGCAUCCUUUUAUACUAUUUAUAGUGUUUGUUUGUUUGUUUUUUAAAUCAAGGACUGAUCAUUACAUUUUAGAUGUGGUAAAAUUGCUCUGUCACCCACAUUUGAAAAUGUUGCCUUAUAAGCCAUUGGAAAGUUAAGAGCUCUUGGCAUUUUUAACUAUUGAAAAUUGUUUUGCAAUUCUUGCUUGCUUAAAAUGUGAAGAUCAAAACCCUUUUGAAGCUGUUACGGUUUCGGAGUAAAAGGUUUUGAGACAGCAGCUGCAUUAUUAACCCUUUAAUAAAAGGGACUGGUGUUUUUUACAAAUUCCAAAGAACAAGGGAGAGAAUUAUACAAUUAUAGCUUGUAGGGGUUCUGUGAAAGUCUAUAAACAAUACCUUGUUAUGGAAAUCUCUAGUGCACAUGUGAUUUCUGAAUGCCUUCUGACCCCACACUCAGAUUGUCCAGUUGGGUGUUGUAUAUUAUCGUCCUUGAGUUAAAAAGUGAAGAUCUUCAAAGGCACAAGUGGCUCUUAAGAACUUUCAACUUUCAAUGGGAAUUAGUGCCUUUGAAAAUCUCCCCCUAAAUGUGAAACCUGUCAGUCAUCCCUUCUAAGUGGCAAUUUUUCCUUUACAGCAGAUGCAUCAUAAGUCUGCCUUUUCCUACAGGUAUUUUUGUCAACACUAGAAAAACAGUACUGUGUAUUAUUUCCACGAUCCACACUUCACUGCUAUCAGAAUAAGAUUUUUGUACUUUUUUUCUAGAUAUGCUAGCCAAACAUUUUUAUUAAGUUAACAAGUUACCAGCCUUGUCUAUGUGCUCAUUAGCUGAUAAAUGGAGGUAAUUAGGAAUGCCUUGUGGUUUUUUGUUUAAAGCUACAAACAGAUGAAGGUUGCAAGGAGUGGGUCUGGUUCUUUUCCAGCUAGACCUGCAGGAGAAACUAAUUCCAAUCUUAAACUUCCUAAUGGGUGUGACUCAAAUGCUCCAUCUGCUGGAGGAAUUGAGAUCGGGAAUUAGCUCAUUUGGGUGACAGAGCUGGAGGUGAGCAGAGCUGCAGCCCACAGCUCCAGCACUGCAGGGCAGAGGAAGCCUAAGGCUCUGACACAACUGCCCAAAGGGGCCCUUCUUGAGGGAAGAAAGGACGCACCCCAGAGACAACCUGCGAGGGGAAGUAUCCUGUGGACCUUGGACAUUGAAAUUAUUGCUCAUGAAGAUGAAGAACCCUGAGCCUUCCCAGCAUUGUUCAAGCUUCCCCACCCAGCCAACAGCCUUUAGUGCUAGCCUCCACCGUACCCAGCCAGAGGCAUUCAAUGGCUGAUUAUUAUGCCAAAUAGUUAGUCUUGUACACAAGAGGCAGCCAACAGCACUGACCAAAACCAGGAAUAAUGACUACUGAAGGGCUACACUUACAGCAACAGAACAGCUGUAGCCAUAUUGAGUGGUGCUACCUGUCUAGAUCUAGUAGUAUUUUAAAACUUUUUGGUGGUAACCACAGGCUGGCACGACACCUACAAAACACUUGACGAUGGUUAGACAACUCACUGCUCCGCUGCUCUCAUACUCUACAAGCGCUUUGUAAUAAAAUUACCCAAAUCAGUUGUAAACUGGAAGGAAGGAGUUUGCCUUGAAAUCUGCCCAGCAGCCCAAAUUCUGCAAGCGGAUGUGCGUGGGGUGCCCCUAUUGAAGCCAAUGGGAAUUUUGAACCAAUAGCUGCAGCAAUUAUAAAAGAGGAAGACAAAACUACCUCCAGGUUCUGCCAAGGUUCAGGUAAAGCUCAACCACCACCAAUCCACGUGGGCACAGGCACCUGGGGAAAUCUCAAAGCCUCCGGCUGCGAAGAGCUUCCAUCCCUUCCUUCUCAAGGAGACUGUGCUUGCAAUUGCACCGUUAGAUUUAGGGACCAGAGCUCAUUAUUAACAUGCUUGAAAUAUUCCACUAUAAUAAGAGCGACUACAAGGAUAAAACACCUUGCAAGAGAGCAUGUCCCAUGUCCUGGGAUGAAACGAUGCUGAGAAAUUUCCCAAUACAGGAAAGCCGCAGACCCCUUAGUCUGUACUAAUCCGGAAGAUUGUUAGGAGCCAUUUGUGAGAAUGGUGCAUUUAAUCUAUCGAGUUCGUCUACCUGGGGUGGAUGAUGCAUCAGAAGUUCCUGGUCUUCUGAAACAUCCUCGCCUACUGCCAUCAGGUUUGUUAGAGAUUUGCUUCUAACACACUGGAAGUCGACGUGACGGCUCUUUCCUUCUUCCUUUUCCCAAGACAUCUGGAUGAACGGCCGUUGCACAUAGUUGUAUAUAACUUCUGACCGGCCUCCGGGUCUCCUCUUGACCUUCUCUUUACAUGUGGGAUAACCUGAAGCACAAUCAGCCCGUCAGUUUCAAUCCACCCCUUGCAUGCAUCACAGCACUGCUCAAACAAAAGGAACCCUAAAGAACAAGUUAUGGCCCGGCAAGAAUACUGGGUAGAGCUGGGACAACACCUCUAGCACUAGGUGGAAAAGUGCUCUCAUUCCACAUUUAGACCCUGUAAAAAUAAACUAGGACUAUAGUACAGAGUUUGAUUCUGGCAGUAGUGGUGUUGGUGUCCAAACCAAUUGUUCUCCCUUUUUAUUUAAGGUUUCUGUUGUUGUUUAGCAAAUAAAAUUUACCUUCAAUGCC